AGCAGGAGACCCGGGUUUCCCAGGUUUCUAGUCCCAGUCUUGCAUUUACUCUUGGACUGACCCACUUCUCCAAAAUAGGCUGGUGAUACACAGCAUUUGAAUAUAGCAACUGCACAGUGACCAGUGCAUCGUCACAGUGCAAAAGAAGAGUAGCAGGUACCAAAUGAAGAAAUGGGCUGCACAUUGAAUAAACAAUUCAGUCAUAAGGAUAUUUAUACAAGGGCCAUAAGGCAAAUGAAAAAUGAAAUAUGCAUCAUUGAAGUGUGUCUCCAUGACAAUUA